AACAACAUUAUUGACUAAGACUAUAUACUAUAUUUACAAAAUAACAGGUCAAAUAAUUAGAUACUCUAAUUAUUCCUGAAUUUUCACCUUCUCCAUUGAAGUGGUUGCCCUAGCUUUCUUACUCCAUUGAAGCAACACCUCCGCCUUCUCACUCCAUUGAAGCAGUAUCUCCGCCUCCAUUGAAUCGUGCUCUAUUCUCCAUUGAAGACGAAUCUGAGCUUUCUCACCUCCAUUGAAGCUGCUCCUGACAAGACUUGAAGGAAUAUCUGCUAGUAAGGCAGGACAGUUUGCUGUGGUGGUAGAGGUCUAUGAAGUUGCUCCCUCACUUUUUAUGGUUGAUGUUCGGAGAGCCGCUGGUGACACCCUUGAAUACCACAAGGUUCAAAAUGAAAUUAUCAGUUGCAUAUAUAAUUAUAUCAAUAUGGCUUCUACAAGUCUCGUAAGAGUUAAUCAGCUUGGACCUGCAAACUCCAAGAGAAGCUUCAGAUGCUGCUGUCCUCUGUUCAGCUGCUAGUAUUAGGAACACGAUUUACACCUAUCUUUUGGCUGCUGCUGUCCUCUGUUCAGCUGCUAGUGUGGAGCUGGUCUUUGAUAUUUUCGUUCCUUGCUUUGAUUUUUUUUUGGACGAAAAUUGUAAUAUUACAGCCUUUUUUAAUGAAAAUAUGUAACUUUAUAUA